AUUGAACGCUGGCGGCAGGCCUAACACAUGCAAGUCGAACGAGUGGCGGACGGGUGAGUAAUGUCUGGGAAACUGCCCGAUGGCGGGGGAUAACUACUGGAAACGGUAGCUAAUACCGCAUACCAUCGGAUGUGCCCAGAUGGGAUUAGCUAGUAGGUGGGGUAACGGCGGACCUAGGCGACGAUCCCUAGCUGGUCUGAGAGGAUGACCAGCCACAGUGGGACUGAGGCACGGGCCAGACGCCAACGGGAGUCAGCAGUGGGGAAUAUGGCACAAUGGGCGCAAGCCUGGUGCAGGCAUGGCGCGUGGAUGAAGAAGGCAUUCGGGUUGUAAAGUACUUUCGGCGAUUAGGCGUUACUCGCAGAAGAAGCACCGGCUAACUCCGUGCCAACAGCCGCGGUAAUAC
rnacentral:rRNA from 1 species